rnacentral:rRNA from 1 species
UACGUAGGGUGCGAGCGUUGUCCGGAAUUAUUGGGCGUAAAGGGCUCGUAGGCGGUCUGUUGCGUCGGGAGUGAAAACUCAGGGCUUAACCCUGAGCCUGCUUCCGAUACGGGCAGACUAGAGGUAUGCAGGGGAGAACGGAAUUCCUGGUGUAGCGGUGAAAUGCGCAGAUAUCAGGAGGAACACCGGUGGCGAAGGCGGUUCUCUGGGCAUUACCUGACGCUGAGGAGCGAAAGCCAGGGGAGCAAACGGG